UGCUUCAAAUUCUUCCGAGCAAAAUAAGCCAUGGGCUCCAAGAAGGUCAUGUUUGUGUUCCUCUCUUUCCUCCUCUUUGUAUCUUUAGCUCAUGCGGGCAAGCCCGGACCUUUGGAUCAGAACAGCACAAAUCAUGAGGAUGUGAAGAAGCUGGCUGAGAGUAGUGCAGAAGGAUGUGAGGGAGCAGGGGAGGAGGACACUGAGUGCUUGCUGAGAAGAACACUAUCGGCACACACUGACUACAUCUACACCCAGGAGGAACAUAAUUAAGAGUUAAGAUGAAGAUUAAGGCAGCAUAAAUUCCAGGGAUUAGUGAUAGCUUUUUAUAUAUGACUAUGUAUGUAUAUAUGUUUGUACAGUCCGUGUCUUGAAUAAAACGGGUGUGAAUACACAAGUAUAUGAUUUACUAUCGGAUUAUUGUAAAUUAAUUGAGGACAGAUCCUCUGGAUCAGUUUUUA